rfam:Aedes aegypti strain Liverpool supercont1.335 genomic scaffold, whole genome shotgun sequence.
UGCCCAGCAACUCCUAUCCCUACCUCCUCGCGGUACUGGCCGGGGUACGAGUAACCUUAGGGAAGAUCGGGUAACCGACCCCCGGUGGGAACUUUGGUCGUAUGCUGACAGGGAAGG